rnacentral:rRNA from 1 species
CAGUCGCCGCGGUAAUACGAAGGGUGCAAGCGUUACUCGGAAUUACUGGGCGUAAAGCGUGUGUAGGUGGUUGUUUAAGUCUGUCGUGAAAGCCCUGGGCUCAACCUGGGAAUUGCGAUGGAUACUGGGCGACUAGAGUGCGGUAGAGGAUAGUGGAAUUUCCGGUGUAGCAGUGAAAUGCGUAGAGAUCGGAAGGAACAUCUGUGGCGAAGGCGACUAUCUGGGCCAACACUGACACUGAGACACGAAAGCGUGGGGAGCAAACAGGAUUAGAGACCCCCGUAGUCCCUGUCUCUUAUAC